ensembl:snRNA U6 U6 spliceosomal RNA
GUGCUUGCUUUGGCAGCACAUAUACUAAAACUGGGACAAUGCAGAGAUGGUUAGCAUGGCCCCUGCAUAAGGAUGACACACAUGUGUGAAGUGUUGCGUACUUUU